GAUGAACGCUAGCGGCAGGCUUAACACAUGCAAGUCGAGGGGUAUAGUAGCAAUACUAGAGACCGGCGCACGGGUGCGUAACGCGUAUGCAAUCUACCUUUACAGAGGAUAGCCCAGAGAAAUUUGGAUUAAUACCUCAUAGCAUUGCGAAAUGGCAUCAUUUUGCAAUUAAAGUCACAACGGUAAAAGAUGAGCAUGCGUCCCAUUAGCUAGUUGGUAAGGUAACGGCUUACCAAGGCAACGAUGGGUAGGGGUCCUGAGAGGGAGAUCCCCCACACUGGUACUGAGACACGGACCAGACUCCUACGGGAGGCAGCAGUGAGGAAUAUUGGACAAUGGGCGCAAGCCUGAUCCAGCCAUGCCGCGUGCAGGAUGACGGUCCUAUGGAUUGUAAACUGCUUUUGUACGAGAAGAAACACUCCGACGUGUCGGAGCUUGACGGUAUCGUAAGAAUAAGGAUCGGCUAACUCCGUG
rnacentral:rRNA from 1 species